CUAGAACAAAGUAUUUAUCCCAUCACUUCAAAUCUUUGAAGAUUGGUUGAUUGAUGCUUCAGGGGACAACUAAAUUCAGUUUCUGGAGUUACAAAUGCACUUCAAUAAUGAUCAAGUCAUGCUGCAACAGGCACAGAGAACAAAGAAACAACUGCAACAAGAAACUGCUGAACUUGGGUCUGAAAUCCCAGCAUUAACAAAAAAGGUUCUGACUUUGGGGGCAGAAAAGAUUCCCAGAUUCUUUCCAAGUUUCUCUGAACCUAGAAAGUGGUGUAAAGAAGAAGUAAUGGUAACAAUAGCAAAAUCAACAUGUAGCAUGCAUCAUUUCAUUUAAUCAUUUCAUCUAUGAAGCUAAGAAUACUCCUUUGUAUGUGGAGAAACAAAUGUUUAAUAGUCGGU
rnacentral:lncRNA from 1 species